rnacentral:rRNA from 1 species
CAGUAGCCGCGGGAAUACGUAGGGUGCGAGCGUUAAUCGGAUUUACUGGGCGUAAAGCGUGCGCAGGCGGCCCGUUAAGACAGGUGUGAAAUCCCUGGGCUCAACCUAGGAAUUGCGCUUGUGACUGGCGGGCUCGAGUACGGUAGAGGGGGGUGGAAUUCCUGGUGUAGCAGUGAAAUGCGUAGAGAUGUGGAGGAAUACCGAUGGCGAAGGCAGCCCCCUGGGCCAAUACUGACGCUCAUGCACGAAAGCGUGGGGAGCAAACAGGAUUAGAUACCCCGGUAGUCCCUGUCUCUUAUAA